AGCGUAACUGUCGAGCCCGAGCCCGAAUCGCGAGCACGAGCAGAUAUCAUCGAGAGCACCACCGACGACGCUCAGGACUUCACCACAGAGUCCACGGAACUCCCGACCAGAGCAAGGAAGCGGACACGUAGGUCGAAGAUGAGGCACUUCGCUCAACGGGUCACCAACCGCACCAGAGCGACGAACCCUUUCAAUAGCACUGAGCAAGAAUAUGACACCACUUGAAUAAGCGCUGUAAUAUAGGCAUGUAAUUUUUUGUGCAAUAACACACGAAUUGCCUAGAUGUAACUCGAGAAUGUGGUCCCAGUCACAUACAUGCAUGUUUCUUAAGCAACCCUUUCAAUAUUUAGCAUCGGUUUUAAAGGCAUACAAAAGAAUUCCGUGAUAUAGUAAUUUCGUGGCAAUAGGUUGUACAUUGUGAA